ACGUUUCUGAGAUAUACGACGGUUUCUAUUUUGAACCUACGUAAUGUAAAAGGGAGUUCUAUAAAGAUAUUGGAUACCAGGCCCUCAGCGGACUUGUUAAGGCAGGGGAAGGUAGAAGAUAUCUUGCGAACACCCACCUAUCCGAGGAUAGGUGUCAAAAUAGAGACAACGAUAUCUCGGAUAUUAA
rnacentral:other from 1 species